rnacentral:antisense_RNA from 1 species
CUCUAUGGGCGGCGAUGGUGGGGAGCCUUCGGGCUGCCGGGUGCCUUUGUUACCGGUCUGCAAACCUUGCUAUCUGCCGCCCUCCCGU